UUUUAAAUGUCAGGGCUCUCUGGAUUCUAGUAAGGAGGUGUGGAGCUACUUUAUGCCCCGUGUCUCCCAGUUUGAAGUGUAUUUGGACAAAGUGUUACAAUUUCUGGAUCUUAGAACGCUGUGGGAGAACAGAGGUGUGCUAUUUAUCAAAAUUUGGACCCUGUUCAAACCAAGAACUCUGAUUGGUUGACUGAAGUCUCAGUGUACAGCUUGGACGUGAUGACAGGAAUGCCACAGUGGGUGCGAGUGUGCCACAGGAUUAAAGGGCUGUAUAUGAGGAAUCAACAAUGGAGCAUCCAAGUAAGAGGUUACCAAAGUAGGAAUUAUUAGCAUUUUAAUACGACUCUUAACAAACAAUGGCAAACAUGUCUCUCUGUUCUCUUGGUCCUCUUUGUUUGGUGUGUGUUUCAGUGUGUGUGUUUCAGUGUGUGUGUGUGUGUUUUGGCGAGGGGUGAUCCUGCACUGCACAGACCGCAGUGUUGUGCAACAUAUGAAAGCUGGCCAGAAUCACUGCUGUGUCUCUGCAGCCCACAGCGAGCAGCGUGAAGCCCACCCUCAGCCAGAGCUCCGGCCUCCGACCCACCAGACCGUUAAACUCCAUUUAUUACACUUAUUCUUUCUCUCUCAGUCAUAAAGCACUGUAACAACUGAAUAAAUCACAAAUCACAUCAGAAAAUGUGGAAUAAAUGGAUUUGUGUUUGUCUGGAGAAGAAGAGAAGAUGUUUGAUUAUGAUUCAUAUCUCACCUCAUUACAUCAUAAUGAAACAGUGAUUCUGAUAGAGCAUGAAAACAUAAUUCAUUAUUAAAGGACCAAUAUGUACCAAAUGAGAGCGAGCUUGUAAAAUGGAUAACCCAAUCCUAUUACAAAACAAUAGAAUAGAGAGUUGUCUGCCACACCCCCUCCUCUUCUCUAGAUGUGAAACUUACGUACAGUGGCUUGCAAAAGUAUUCAAACCCC